UCCAUUUCCGUAGGAAUGCUUGAUUGAAUGUGUUUCUGUAACCAAAUUGAAUGAAAUACUGUCGAUUGGUUUUCUCACUUCCAUUUGAGUUGAUGACAAACAAAUUUUUCGUUAAAUUCAAAAUGGAAUUCGUUGAAUUUAAAGCAAAUAGAAAUACGUCGGGGCGUGCUACAAAUGGCCAAAAGAGGCGGUUACUGCACUUAAUGCAGGAGCACCGCAGCGUUGGAAGGGGCCAAUUUCAGAAACCAAAUGCAAGGAAGGAGCACGAAGAGGUUUGGGCAGCCUUUGUUGCUGAAUUAAAUGCGUAGGGAGGGUCCCACAAGUCCCCUAAUCAGUGGAAAAAGUGUUGGAUAGACUGGAAAUCGGCAGUCAAGAAGCUGCACAAUGCCCACAGAGCGUUCGCCAGACGAACUGGAAACCUGCCGUUGCAGGACGGUCCAAAACCGUUGGAUGCCAUGGACCGGGAAAUUUUGGAGUUUUUUUCCAGCGAAACUGGUUUGUAGACAACUGCUGAAAUGGUCGAUGUUACGAUUGAGAAUGAGGGUGAUGCUACUGCCAACAUUGGGUUGGACGCAAACGCGGACAGUUUGGGCAUCUUCGAAGUGGAGGCACUUGAAGAGGUUGCAAUGGGUCAGGUGCUUGAGGUUGUGCCAAACAAACAGCAACCCAAACAGCGCACAAACCAAAGCUGUGUGGAAGAGGCGACCAGUCUCAUAGAAAAUCAUCUUGCGCAGCUGAAAGAGAUUUUGGAGAGACAGCACAAGGAGCACAUGGGUGUUUUAAACGGAAUACACGAUACCCUGAAAGCUCUGUUGGAAACCAUGACGGGAGCGACUGUUGCAUAAGGAGUAGGCGUAUGUACACUGUUUACACGGGGGCAAGAAAAAAUACUUUUAUAUUUUUCAAUACAAUUUACUUUAAUUAAAA